rnacentral:rRNA from 1 species
UACGAAGGGGGCUAGCGUUGCUCGGAAUCACUGGGCGUAAAGCGCACGUAGGCGGCCUGCUAAGUCGAACGUGAAAUCCCCGGGCUCAACCCGGGAACUGCGUCCGAUACUGGCAGGCUUGAAUCCGGGAGAGGGAUGUGGAAUUCCAGGUGUAGCGGUGAAAUGCGUAGAUAUCUGGAGGAACACCGGUGGCGAAGGCGGCAUCCUGGACCGGCAUUGACGCUGAGGCGCGAAAGCCAGGGGAGCAAAGCGGG